rnacentral:rRNA from 1 species
AUACGUAGGUGGCAAGCGUUGUCCGGAAUUAUUGGGCGUAAAGCGCGCGCAGGCGGUCCUUUAAGUCUGAUGUGAGAGCCCACGGCUCAACCGUGGAGGGUCAUUGGAAACUGGGGGACUUGAGUGCAGAAGAGGAAAGUGGAAUUCCAAGUGUAGCGGUGAAAUGCGUAGAGAUUUGGAGGAACACCAGUGGCGAAGGCGACUUUCUGGUCUGUAACUGACGCUGAGGCGCGAAAGCGUGGGGAGCAAACAGGAUUAGAUACCUUGGUAGUCCACGCCGUAAACGAUGAGUGCUAAGUGUUAGGGGGUUUCCGCCCCUUAGUGCUGCAGCUAACGCAUUAAGCACUCCGCCUGGGGAGUACGGUCGCAAGACUGAAACUCAAAGGAAUCGACGGGG